UCGACUUCGCAAGCCAUUGACGCCCUUCUUCAUCCAAGAAUCCAUUCGUCCUCCCAUCAUUCAACCCACCCAGCCCGCCUGCCUGCCUGCCUUCCCUCCUUCGUCCCUUUGUCCCUCCCUUCCUUCCUUUCCUCUCUCCCUCCCUCCUUCCCUUCUUUCCAUCCAGAAAACAUUUAUGGAGCAGUGAUCUCGUAUCAGGCACUGGGCUAAGCACGGUCUGCAAUGUCGAGUCAGAAUUUCAGCUCCGAUCCAUUAAGGGGCGCUGCAGGACCGCGUGCUACUUGCGCCGGAGGAGACGCCAGUCUGCUGCCCGCGCACUCCAUCUGUGUUUCCGCCGACGCGGGCCGAGGGAAGUGUUUCCUGAGCGUGAGGCUGCGGUCCUGCCUGGUCUCGGGACAUCCUGCACCUCCCAGCGCCGUCUGCUGACAUCCUGCACCUAAUCGCGCCGCCUCUCAGUCCCCGCAGCCAUCCUGCGCCGUCAGCCCUGGAACCCCGGACCCGUUGGCUGAGGGGAUGCUUCCAGGGCGCCAGAGGGAAAGAAUCUGAAUUCCUGCACCUGCUUCACACUAAAGACGUUCCUCCAGGCCCCGCCGGACUAUGGUAGUCGUGCAGAUCCAUGGGAAAUCUUCCUUGGGUGGCUUGGCUGGUUCUGCAUCAUCUGUCGCCCCCUUCUCACCUGCCAAACCCUGCAGGUGCUGCCUGCAGGACCCUGACCUGCGCUCCCAGACCCGCUCCCCCUCUCUCCCGAUGCUGAGGUUGCCCCGGGCCAAGUGCUCUGUGAGCACCUGGAAGACAGGGCUUGUUGCCUUCCCCUCCCACACAGGCAGAGAAUACUUCAUGGGAGUUGUCAUGUCAGGAACAUUCUAGACCCUGAUGUCCUUGAGCAUUGAGAUUCCUUUUCAAGACACAUUUGGUAUGAAUAAACUGGCAGCUCAUACCUGGGUAAUUGGGCAUUCUCCUUGAUGUCAGCUCAGAGCAGGAGAAGAUAAUGUUGGAGACCAAAUACUUGUAGUGACCUCCUGCCUGGUGGACCUCCUCCCCACUCCAGUGGCUCAGCCUGGGACCCAGAGAUUGUUGAAGGCAGCCCCAAGGUGACGUGGGCACUGGCUCCUUCAGGAUGAUGACCUAGGGUUGCAGCUCCCCGGGAGGGGCCUCCUCAUGAUUAUUUUGGGGUUAAACAUGGACGCUCAAGUAGCAGAUUAAAGAGCAACAUUGCUGCAUGAAGCAUCGCCAGACCUUCACCUCAGCACAGCGUGGAUCAGCUCACACUCUGCAUGAGAGGGCCGGGGGAAGCUCUGGGACUCUGGGGAUGUGGUGUUCAGAAUUAGAGACCAUUCAGCUGGCUCUGCCCCUCAACAGCAGUGCCACUGGGCACCAGGAACCAAGAAGGCUGGUUGUCUAUAGUCUAGGUCAGGUCAUUCAGUGGCAGCCUCCCUUUCUCUUCCUGCCUUCACCUGGUGUAAUUUUUUAAGAACUAAGAGUUUCUAUUGAAGUUUGCUGUGCUGUGCAUUAUUGUUCUCCCAUCCACCUCAAUAAAUCAUGGAACUAUGU